ACUGCUGGAUUAAGCCGGAGGAAGUGGGACGACGUCAAGUCAGCAUGACCUUUAUAUCCCAGGGCUACGACACACGCUACAAUGGUCAGUACAAUGGGUUGCCAAGCCGCGAGGCGGAGCCAAUCCUAAAAAGCUGGCCUCAGUUCAGAUUGCAGUCUGAAACUCGACUGCAUGAAGUCGGAGUUGCUAGUAAACGCAGGUCAGCUAUACUGCGUUGAAUACGUUCCCGGGGCUU
rnacentral:rRNA from 1 species